CCAGAAUAUGUUUGGCCCUAGCUCUAUCUCAUCUCAUCUCUUCGGUUCCACGGAGAUCUCUUCCACGACUCAUCUCUUGCCUUUUCCCCUUCUCGAACGGAUCGAUCAAUAAGACGUGGUAUCCUCCUCCGAGCCGAUCAAACUGGAGUCUCUCUCGAUACAGCUGCCUCCGGCGAUUCGAAGUAUAAGAAGCAAGACGACAAAGUUAUGUUUGAUAUGUUUAAUUUCUUUUGCACCUUUUUUUAGUAUCUUUGUGGUUUUUUCCCUCAGUUAUGUUUGAUAUGUUUACUGAUUCGGAAUUUGGUCUGAUUCUACGCUUCUGGUUUGAUAGAUGAGCAAAUAAAUGAAUCAGAACCAUUGAUUCGAUCGAGUGGAGGCAGAGCGUCUGAAGCUUUGACGGAGGCGAGAAAAAACUUUUGUCUUAGAGAGUUUAAGAGUUCCAGGGGAACAGGUUUAAGAUGAUAAAGGCAAGGAUGAUGAUGAAGAAUCAAGGCAAGCCAAAUUGUACCAUGAUAUUUCUUCGUUUCUUUGAAAUUUUAGUUUCUUAGACGGACUACUGUGACCUAUUCUCAACUUAAGCAACAAACUUUCAGAGUCAUCGAGUCAGUCAUGGAAUCUGCUGCCAAGAAAAAGCAAAGAAAUACUUUUUUGUACUGAGGCUUGCUCAUAUAAGACAACAGUAUGUCUAAAUGUUCGUCGAACUUGAGGGGUGGAUGGAUAUAAGGUUUUUAAUCCUUAAUAGCUGUGGGAUGCUGUACCGUUACUGAAAAGCUAUGGGAGAAGGGCUCCAUCAGGAGGAUAGCGUGUUGAGGAAGGCGGUAGGGAAAACGAAAAAAAGGGUGGUGAAGUAACAGAGAAUCUCCUGGACAUUGACCCGCUAGGAAACAUGGUUAGAAAUGAUAUUCAAGUGUAGAAUAAUAAAGAAAGAAAAACUUCAAAGGAUAAGGAAGAGUAGAAGACCAUGCCAAGUGGACCACCAAUAUUGUUGAUGAGAAGGUCGAUAUGUUUGCCUUUGGUGUAUUGGUUCUAGAAGUCAUAACCAGUCAUAGAGCUGUUUGAUACAACAUAAGCCAUGUCGGCGGUGGUUGUGAAUGCGUGCUAUUUCAGGAUCACACAGCCCCCUCAUACCUAAACGAACUCAUCUGCCACAGGCAAUUCCUAAUGGAGUGAGUAGAAUCAAUCAAAUAAAAAUUGAUGUCUGGUAACUAAUGUGCUUAUGUCUUGCCUUAGUCACCCUUGACUGAGUUUUGUUUCUUAAUAUUCUUUAUUGGUUGCUUCUUUUAUUUCGUUAACCAAACGGUGAAUAUCACCUAGAUGUGUCUCUAUGUUGUUUUACUGAUCUUUGUUUAGGCUCAAACCCCGAAGGAGUUGUCAAUAUUCUACAGAGUUCAUUAUAGUUUUAACCUAAGCAUAAAACCCCAGUGGACAAAGAAACUCCCAGAUUAAAAAGUGUUAAAUAUAUGGACCUUAUUAGCAACAAGCUCUGCUUCCUUAUGUGCUCUACAAUCUUUUUUUUUUUAUGUUCGUUCAUCUUAGGAAAAAUAUAAAUUUAUUUUUGCUUUGUACAUGGUAAAUUAUGAAUUCUGGAGAUAUUAUCAUUAAUGAAACUUUGGGGCUGAUAGUGGGUGUGAUUGGCUAUUGCUGUAGUUGCUCUCCACAGCCACAGUUAUACCCACAGCUCUAAAUCUACACCAAUCUUGAUUUAUAUUUUUUUUAAAGCUCACAGCCCUUUGUUUAGUCCACAGCACUUCUUUAAAUUUAUGUGUUUAUAAUUGCUCUGCAGAGAUAAAUUCCUACAGCCCAAAUUUAAAGACUUUUAAAAGUUAAAAAUCUAGAGCCAAAGCCAAAAAAGUCACAGCAAUAUUACUACAGCCAAAAAAAGAAAUCAUAGUUCUUACCAAUCACACCCAGUGUGUUUAAAUACAGAUGCACAUCGAUAACAUUUACAAUUUUUUAAAAAAUUCUACUUUGUUUCUCAGUUUUCUGAAUUCAUUUUUAAAACUGUUUCCAAAACAACUGAGAUUUGUUUCUAUUCUCACGUUUGUUAUAUUAUCUUCUACACAAUCAAUACCCAUGACUAAUACAUCUACACGUGUGUGAUGCAUUAAUUACAUUUGCAUGAAUUUUCAUCAGCAUGCCUU